UGUGUGUUAGUGGAAGCGUCUGGAAAGGCGCGCGAUACAGGGUGACAGCCCCGUACACAAAAAUGCACAUGCUGUGAGCUCGAUGAGUAGGGCGGGACACGUGGUAUCCUGUCUGAAUAUGGGGGGACCAUCCUCCAAGGCUAAAUACUCCUGACUGACCGAUAGUGAACCAGUACCGUGAGGGAAAGGCGAAAAGAACCCCGGCGAGGGGAGUGAAAAAGAACCUGAAACCGUGUACGUACAAGCAGUGGGAGCCUCUUUUAUGGGGUGACUGCGUACCUUUUGUAUAAUGGGUCAGCGACUUAUAUUCUGUAGCAAGGUUAACCGAAUAGGGGAGCCGAAGGGAAACCGAGUCUUAACUGGGCGUUAAGUUGCAGGGUAUAGACCCGAAACCCGGUGAUCUAGCCAUGGGCAGGUUGAAGGUUGGGUAACACUAACUGGAGGACCGAACCGACUAAUGUUGAAAAAUUAGCGGAUGACUUGUGGCUGGGGGUGAAAGGCCAAUCAAACCGGGAGAUAGCUGGUUCUCCCCGAAAGCUAUUUAGGUAGCGCCUCGUGAAUUCAUCUCCGGGGGUAGAGCACUGUUUCGGCAAGGGGGUCAUCCCGACUUACCAACCCGAUGCAAACUGCGAAUACCGGAGAAUGUUAUCACGGGAGACACACGGCGGGUGCUAACGUCCGUCGUGAAGAGGGAAACAACCCAGACCGCCAGCUAAGGUCCCAAAGUCAUGGUUAAGUGGGAAACGAUGUGGGAAGGCCCAGACAGCCAGGAUGUUGGCUUAGAAGCAGCCAUCAUUUAAAGAAAGCGUAAUAGCUCACUGGUCGAGUCGGCCUGCGCGGAAGAUGUAACGGGGCUAAACCAUGCACCGAAGCUGCGGCAGCGACGCUUAUGCGUUGUUGGGUAGGGGAGCGUUCUGUAAGCCUGUGAAGGUGUGCUGUGAGGCAUGCUGGAGGUAUCAGAAGUGCGAAUGCUGACAUAAGUAACGAUAAAGCGGGUGAAAAGCCCGCUCGCCGGAAGACCAAGGGUUCCUGUCCAACGUUAAUCGGGGCAGGGUGAGUCGACCCCUAAGGCGAGGCCGAAAGGCGUAGUCGAUGGGAAACAGGUUAAUAUUCCUGUACUUGGUGUUACUGCGAAGGGGGGACGGAGAAGGCUAUGUUGGCCGGGCGACGGUUGUCCCGGUUUAAGCGUGUAGGCUGGUUUUCCAGGCAAAUCCGGAAAAUCAAGGCUGAGGCGUGAUGACGAGGCACUACGGUGCUGAAGCAACAAAUGCCCUGCUUCCAGGAAAAGCCUCUAAGCAUCAGGUAACAUCAAAUCGUACCCCAAACCGACACAGGUGGUCAGGUAGAGAAUACCAAGGCGCUUGAGAGAACUCGGGUGAAGGAACUAGGCAAAAUGGUGCCGUAACUUCGGGAGAAGGCACGCUGAUAUGUAGG
rnacentral:rRNA from 1 species